rnacentral:rRNA from 1 species
AACGAACGCUGGCGGCGUGGAUAAGACAUGCAAGUCGAACGGGAUUACUUUUGUAGCAAUACCGAAGUAAUUUAGUGGCGAACGGGUGCGUAACACGUGGGCAAUCUGCCGAAAAGUGGGGGAUAGCUCGCCGAAGGCGAAUUAAUACCGCAUGUGGUGAGGGAAGACAUCUUCCUGAAUCCAAAGCCGGGGCAACCUGGCGCUUUUGAGGAGCCCGCGGCCUAUCAGCUAGUUGGUGAGGUAACGGCUCACCAAGGCUUUGACGGGUAGCUGGUCUGAGAGGACGACCAGUCACACUGGAACUGAGACACGGUCCAGAC